GUCCGCGUGGUGUAGUGGUUAGCACUAUGUUCUUAUAUCCUUAAGAUAUUAGAGAUAUGCAUGGGUCGCCAGUUCGAUCCUGGCCGUGGACA